UAGAGCGGAGUCAGAACCAAACACAGCUUUACAGAGUCACACUAGAGCGGAGUCAGCACCAAACGCAGCUUUACAGAGUCACAUUAGAGCGGAGUCAGCACCAAACAGUCACAUUAGAGCGGAGUCAGCACCAAACGCAGCGUUACAGAGUCACACUAGAGCGGAGUCAGAACCAAACACAGCUUUACAGAGUCACACUAGAGCGGAGUCAGCACCAAACGCAGCUUUACAGAGUCACACUAGAGCGGAGUCAGAACCAAACACAGCUUUACAGAGUCACACUAGAGCGGAGUCAGCACCAAACGCAGCUUUACAGAGUCACACUAGAGCGGAGUCAGAACCAAACAGUCACAUUAGAGCGGAGUCAGCACCAAACGCAGCUUUACAGAGUCACGCUAGAGCGGAGUCAGAACCAAACACAGCUUUACAGAGUCACACUAGAGCGGAGUCAGAACCAAACAGUCACAUUAGAGUGCAGUCAGCACCAAACACAGCUUUACAGAGUCUGGAGAGAGCUGGAGCUUGAAUUCACUGCUGAACCCAGAGAACAUGAACCAGAUCAGUCAAAGAUGAACAUCAGCUGCAGAAAUGAGUUACAUGUCAUGAUACGGAGAUUUCAAUAUUUCAAACAGUCUGCAUGUCCAAAUAAAAUAAAAGCUCACUUGAUCGACAGGAACCCAAAAUGCUCAGAAAACUUUGGAUAUUUUCCUUCAGCUCUGUGAUGGUUUCUGUGCUCCUCCAGAAGCAGAAACGAUGGACACAGUCUUCUUGAUGGGAGUUUUCUGAAGUCUGGAAAAAAGUGAUUCAUAAACUCAUGACUCAGAGCUCAGUCUAAAUUCUAAACUCUCAAGCAUGAAUUGGUUUCUUCACAAAGCAGCAGAUUCUCUGUGUUUUUCCACACAGACCAGAGACUCGCCUGAACAUUUUCCAGCUGAAACUCCUCCAGAUCUUCUUAUAUAAGCAGUGAUUGUCAGAUGAUCAGCUGUGUCUCAUAAACCCAUCACAUUACACUUAAUCACUUCAAAACAGUGUUUUAUGGCUGUAAACUCCAGGAACAGAUCAAUCCCAAAUCCAUGAUUAAAGUGGAAAUGAAUCCUGUGUGUUUCUGAUGCUGGUAAUGUCCAAAUAUAUUAGAAACCCAGUUUUGCCUAGAGAUGGAGAAACAAAUCUUUCCAGAUAAAAAAAA
ensembl:lncRNA